GGGUAGUUGCCCGGUGUCGGUUUCCAUAUGGAAUUGAAAGGGAAUCCGCCACCGGACCUGUCCGGUGAACCGGAACUGCCCCCGCAACUGUAGGCGGCGAGGACAUCCACGAAAAUGCCACUGUGGCCAUGCGCCACGGGAAGGCCGUGGAAAGCCCCGCGACCCGCCAGUCAGGAGACCUGCCGACACCCGUUUCAACGC
rnacentral:ncRNA from 2 species